GCCAGUGUGGCAUAGUGGUUUGAGUGUUGGGUUAUGACUCUCGAGAUCAGGGUUUGAAUCCCUGCCUGGGCA